GGGGUCUGCCUCAGGAGCUCCGGCCUGACCAUCGCCCCUAAGCAAACCUGGAACCUCCCUCACGUAGAAAAUCUAGGUAAAAGUCGCACACAAAUUAAAGAGAGACGACCACGUCGCAGUAAUCGACGACAUAUCUAGCAGCAGUGCCCAUGUCCAGGCCGAAACCAGUAGGCCUAUAACCAUCACGCAAAUCGGACAGAAGGUUAGCAGAAAAUGGCCAAUGUUGGAAUGCUGCCCAAAAGAACCACUCGACGUCUAAACUACUAGCGCACCAGUAAGUUGAAAAAAGUGCCAGAGGACACUCCGAUCAACAACUCCGUAGACAACCACCCUCCAAGCACCAAAAAGACGCCUCAUAAA
rnacentral:lncRNA from 1 species